CAGUUCGGAUUGCUGCUCAGGCUAUGUGUUCAACAAAACCAAAAACACAUGUGUUGUGUGUCCUGACGGAUAUUAUGGUCUUCACUGCAAGGAGACAUGUCCAUAUCCUUCCUAUGGGUUUUCAUGUCGCCAUCAAUGUACAUGUGAAAUGCAUCAGUGCAAUAACAUAAAAGGAUGCUCUUCAGAAACAAGUACUGAUAAAAGAUUUUUCCAAACAUCUGCAUCGAAAACACCAAAAUCAGUAUCAAAGAAAUCAAAGAAGACUAUGAUUUUAUCUAACGACUUGCAUGUUCAUACUGAUGAAUCAUCUUUCACAAAGACACAACCUCUGAUGUUAAACCCGAACAAAGAA